CUGUCCUGCUGUUUCUCUGCUCUCAGCUCUCCUCUCCUCACUGCUGGUCUACCUGCUUUGCCUGAAGAAAGCAAACAAUGAAGCUGAAAAUAAGAGAUGUGACAUUUCAAGACAAACUGAAGGAGCUCAGGAUGAAAAUGUUUGUUACGCUGCCCUGGAAAUCCAUCCGCCAUCACAGAGGACGAAGAGGAAGAGGACGAUCCAAAGUUCAGAUUUCAGUACAUACUCUGCCAUCAAGACAUGAGGAGAUUCAUAUUUAACACAGAAGUUAAACAGUAAUAAAGGAGUCCUUAGAGUUUUAUUUCCUUUCAUUAACUUCCUCUCAAACUAAAGAAAAAAUCUUUAAACCCUCAUCUCAACUCUUCUUUUCAGACAGCUUUGUCUUAUUUUUAUUUACAUCUCUGUUCAUCAGUAAAGCUCUUUUCAGUUAAAUGUCUAACUUUCAUCAUAGACGCCUUGAGCUCCUCACUGAGACAGCUUAGUCAAAAACAGCAGCGAGCCUCCGACACGCCGUACCCUACUACUCUAAUACUGGUUCUAUAUUUCACUUUGCAGAAGCUCUAGUUACACAUGCAUCUUUUUUUUUUCGCUUGUUUUACAUUAAAGUAUAUUUUCAAACAUUUUCACUGGCAUUUAUUAAACUCAAAUUGAAUUUGUUAAACUUUUGAAUUAUGUAACAUCAGACUGUGUGACUAUUUUUU